GUAAGUGUUAGUGUUUUGUCUGCAUGUAUGUCAGUGCUCCACAGGCAUGCUUGGUGCCUACGGAGGCCAGAAGAGGACAUCAGGUCCCCUGUGAGUUACAGAUAGCUGCGAGCUGCCACGUGGGUACUUAGAAUUGAACUCAGGUUCCCUGGAAGAACAGCCAAUGCUGUUGACUUGGUAAGUCAGUUCUCCAGCCCCAUGGAGCCUGUCUUUUUAUCCUUUCCUUUGUUUGUUUUUGUUUGUUUGCUGGCUUGUUUGCAGGUGUGCUGUGUUGGAUCUCUGGCUUCGAUCUCCUGGACUCAGGUGAGCCUCCUGUCCCAGCCUGUGGAGCAUCUGGGAUUAUCACUGCUUGCUGCCUGUAUACUCGGCAUGUAACCUGACCUUGGACAGACUUGGGCCAAGAAUAUCCAGGACUCUCAGUUUGAAUAUUACCAUGAUUCUAGAAUGUGUGUGUGUGUGUGUGUGUGUGUGUGUGUGUGUGUGCAGGCACAUGUGUGCACACGCUUCCGGAAACUGAACCCAGGGCCUUGUACAUGCUAGAAAUCCCCCCACCACUGAGUUAUACUCUCAGCCCUUUAAAAUAUCUUUAUUAUACUCAUUCUGUGCAUGCAUGCAUUUGGGGUGUAAGCUUGAAAUCAGCAGUUCAGUUCACAGGAAUCAGCAGCAGAAGCUCGACCCACUCGCAGACACGAUACAGAUAUAACAGCAGUCCAGUUCCUUAGAGUCGGAAUAGCAAACAUGAAUCAGCGGCAGAAGCAUGAUCCAGCAGAAACAGCCAGGCCUCAGUUGAGUCAGCACAAGUCAGCCGAAGGGACCAGGACCACUAGGGAUGCCAGGAGAAGUUCUUUGCUGUGCCUCUCUCAAAGAAGCAGAGAUUAGUGAAGAUUCAAGACCAAGAAGAGUUACAAAGUUACUUAUGCAAGCCAGCCCCUAUCAAUGUCCAUUGGGUCCUAUUUAUAUUCCCUCAAAACAUCGUGUGCCCUCUACAGGUCUUGCCUCACCACCUGUCUUUCCUCAGUCCAUGAGUGUUGCCUUAGCAAAACUCCACGUGCGUCUUUAUCUGACAUCGUUCUAUCGGUCAGAGUCUUUGGAAGAGGCAAGAAGCCGCAGGAAUCUCUCCAUUUAUUUCUCUCUAUGAGUCUUGACCAUUGGAGCUCAACAACGCAUGUAAAGUGAACCAAUACAUGUGUGUCAUUAUCGAAGAAUCCUUCAUCAUGUGUCCUUUCAUGUGCUUGCUUUAGCAAAACAUUCUUCCACCUGUGUCUGCUUCAGCGAAACGUUCCUUCACAUGUCUGACUCCAC
rnacentral:lncRNA from 1 species